UACGGGGGGGGCAAGCGUUGUUCGGAAUUACUGGGCGUAAAGGGCUCGUAGGCGGCCAACUAAGUCCGACGUGAAAUCCCCAGGCUUAACCUGGGAACUGCGUCGGAUACUGGAUGGCUUGAAUCCGGGAGAGGGAUGCGGAAUUCCAGGUGUAGCGGUGAAAUGCGUAGAUAUCAGGAGGAACACCGGUGGUGUAGACGGCUCACUGGACCGUAACUGACGCUGAGACACGAAAGCGUGGGUAGCAAACAGG
rnacentral:rRNA from 1 species